AACGAACGCUGGCGGCAUGCCUAACACAUGCAAGUCGAACGAGACCUUCGGGUCUAGUGGCGCACGGGUGCGUAACGCGUGGGAACCUGCCCUUAGGUUCGGAAUAACUCCCCGAAAGGGGUGCUAAUACCGGAUAAUGUCUUCGGACCAAAGAUUUAUCGCAUUUGGAUGUGCCCGCGUUGGUUUAGCUAGUUGGUAGGGUAAAAGCCUACCAAGGCGACGAUCCAUAGCUGGUUUGAGAGGAGGAUCAGCCACACUGGGACUGAGACACGGCCCAGACUCCUACGGGAGGCAGCAGUGGGGAAUAAAGGACAAUGAGCGAAAGGCUGAUACAGCAAGGCCGGGUGAGUGAUGAAGGCGUUGGGGUUGUAAAGCUCUUUUACCGGGGAUGAUAAUGACAGUACCGGGAGAAUAAGCUCCGGCUAACUCCGUG
rnacentral:rRNA from 1 species